rnacentral:misc_RNA from 1 species
GAAAUGCGAUAAGUAGUGUGAAUUGCAGAAUUCAGUGAAUCAUCGAAUCUUUGAACGCACAUUGCGCUCCUUGGUAUUCCUUGGAGCAUGCCUGUUUGAGUAUCAUGAAAUCUUCAAAGUAAAUCUUUUGUUAACUCAAUUGGUUUCUACUUUGGUAUUGGAGGUCUUUGCAGCUUCACACCUGCUCCUCUUUGUUCAUUAGCUGGAUCUCAGUGUUAUGCUUGGUUCCACUCGGCGUGAUAAGUUAUCUAUCGCUGAGGACACUGUAAAAGGUGGCCAAGGUAAAUGCAGAUGAACCGCUUCUAAUAGUCCAUUGACUUGGACAAUACUUUUAUGAUCUGAUCUCAAAUCAGGUAGGACUACCCGCUGAACUUAAGC